rnacentral:rRNA from 1 species
AGGGUUUGAUCCUGGCUCAGGAUGAACGCUAGCGGCAGGCCUAAUACAUGCAAGUCGAGGGGCAGCAAGUCAGUUUACUGAUGUUGGCGACCGGCGCACGGGUGCGUAACGCGUAUGCAACCUACCUAUUUCUGGGAGAUAGCCCGGGGAAACCCGGAUUAAUAUCCCAUAGUAUCACAUGAUGGCAUCUGAAAGUGAUUAAAGUUUCGAUGGAAAUAGAUGGGCAUGCGUAAGAUUAGCUUGUUGGUGAGGUAAUGGCUCACCAAGGCAACGAUCUUUAGGGGGUCUGAGAGGAUGAUCCCCCACACUGGAACUGAGACACGGUCCAGACUCCUACGGGAGGCAGCAGUAGGGAAUAUUGGUCAAUGGGCGAAAGCCUGAACCAGCCAUGCCGCGUGCAGGAUGACAGCUUUCUGAGUUGUAAACUGCUUUUCUACGAGAAGAAAAAACCCUUGCGAGGGUAAUUGACGGUACCGUAGGAAUAAGCACCGGCUAACUCCGUGCCAGCAGCCGCGGUAAUACGGAGGGUGCAAGCGUUGUCCGGAUUUAUUGGGUUUAAAGGGUACGUAGGUGGAUUCUUAAGUCCGUGGUGAAAGCCCGCAGCUCAACUGCGGAACUGCCAUGGAUACUGGGAAUCUUGAAUUCAGUUGAGGUUGGCGGAAUUUAUGGUGUAGCGGUGAAAUGCAUAGAUACCAUAAAGAACACCUAUUGCGAAGGCAGCUAACUGGACUUGAAUUGACACUGAGGUACGAAAGCGUGGGGAGCGAACAGGAUUAGAUACCC